rnacentral:lncRNA from 1 species
ACUCUACUAUACAUGGCUUUGUGGACUCUGAUUUGACCAUGAACCUGGCUCUGAUACCAACUUUGUCAUAACCCAAACCGGGGCCUGGCCAUGAUGGGCAUCUCUAGUCCCCCGAGGAUCGGAGAUCACCCCCUUGCCUAGUCAAACAUCACAUAAUAUACCUAGCAGUGGAUGAGUUCAAAACAUAUAACAAGAUAAAAUACUUAAUAAUAAGAUUGUACUAAGAAUUCACAUACCAAAUCCCAAUCCACAGUAAUCCACAAAGCCUCUAAACAGACCAAAAUAAAUCUAACUCAGGACAUGCCCCCGAUGAUAGGCAAAAAGAAACCAAAUGGUAGUCUAUGAUAUAAAUGAAACAUGACUUAUAAAAUGAUAACCCUUCCGAAGAUUAGAAGCUCAUCACUUCAAAGCUGACAGCGGACAACCACAAAAUCUAUCACUACGUAAAAAAAGAAGAAGUGUCUUUGAAACCUGUAUCACGUGGGGAUACAACACUUAGAGAUGGUUAGUGAGGUGAGCACUAGUAUGUAACUUAGGAAAGUAGUAAAGUUAUGCCAUAAUCAAACAAUUUAAAAUCAUCAAAAGCAAUGCACAUACUCACAUAUAGUAUAUAUACAUCACGCCAAACCAAAUUAUCUAGCCAACUGGGACUUUAACCCAUCGACCAAUAGGACUUUAAAUCGUUUAGCCAACUGGCACUCUAACCCACAAGCCAAUAGGAUGUGAAUACAUUUAGCUAACUGGGACUCUAAUCUAUUAGCCAGUAUAACUUUAACAUGUUUUUCUAACAGGGAAUCUAACCCAUUAGCCAAUAGAACUUCAACACAUUUAGCAAUUGGGACACUAACCCAUUAGCUAAUAAAACUCCAAUGCAUUUAGCCAACUAAAACUCUAACCUAUUAGCCAAUAAAACUUUAACGCAUUUAGAUAACUAGGACUCUAACCCAUUAGAUAAUAGAACUUUAACACAUUUAGCACUGGGACCCUUAGCCAUUAGCCAAUGGAACUUUAAAGGUUCUAAUUCAAAUUAAUCAAUGACCAUCAAGGCCCUUCUAAAGCCAAUACAUGUUUCAUUAGCCUUUAUGCCAUGCAAAAGUAUAAUUGAGCAAGUCAAAUCAUGUGACAAAACCAUAAUCCAAUAUAAAUCCCAUAAAUGGGUUAAGAGGACAUAAUUUUCAAACCAUAUGUCAAGUCAAAAUCAUCAAAUUGGGGAAACCACGACCCCUUAGGUUAUUUACCAUACUCAUGCACCCCACAAGUUCAAAACCAUUAGUAAAACAUAUUUAAUGCAUAAUAAAUCAUGGAAAAUCAGUUUAAGAAUCAACCAUGCUAAAGCCUUUAACUCAUAUCAAAAUGCCCAUUCAAAUCUACACAAUUAAACCAUUAAAACAUAUGUUUUUAAUAAAAUAAGAUUUGGGAAAAAGUGGCAUGCUUAAAAAUCAGGAUUUAUGGAGAGAAAUCUACCCUUAAGCCCCAAGAUGACCAAGUUUAAGAAACCCUAGCUUGUUUUUCCCUUAGGGUUUUGAUAGAAUUUGAGAGAGUAUUUUGAUUGCUAAAGUGAUAAAAAUAACAUCCCGGGGGUGUUUAUAGUUGUGGGCCUUAAGUGAGAAAAGAGGGAAAUGUCCAAAGUGCCCUCAGUUAAAAGCUGAAAAUUAUUCGCCAGUGACUACGGGUCACCCUACGACUUGUAUAGACUUAUUAUGACUCGUCACCAUAAGUCUAUUACCUAUGGUCACCCAUACUUUUUUGGCUAUGAGUCAUACCAUACGACUCAUACUCGGACAUUACAACUCGUUAGGUCAAAUAUAGGCAAAAUAGAAAUAUUUAGGUAUCACACUGGUUUGGCUACGGAUGAGACUAUACAACUCGUAUAGAGUCUUUACGACUCGUAACCUCUUAGUCCUAGUCACAUAGAAACUCCAAGUUGAAACACUGGUUAGGAUAUAAUUGGGGGCUCAAUACCCGUAAUGACAUAUUACAACUCGUAGGGAGAGUCAUAGUCUGGGUAGUGUGCUCAAAGGUCAAGAAAUUUUCAAGGAACAAAAAGCUGGGGUGUUGCAGUCACUCAAGUGAAGGCCCUAAGUUUGAGACCAGUGGCUACGACUAGACCUUACAGCUCGUAAUUAGUGACUAUAGUCGUAGGUAGGGACUCAUAGCCUGACCAGUAAAGGACCCAAGACUCAAGAUUCAAACUACGACUCCAUCUUACUACUCGUAGUUAGACAUUACGAGUCGUAAGAAGGAAGUCAUAGUCAGACUAGAAAAGGGCCCUAAACCCUAGAUUCUAGCCUACAACUUAGACUAUGACUCGUAGUCAGUCCCAAUGAGUCAUAGGGUGAGUCGUAGUAACUGGGAACCCAGAUUUCCUGCACGAUUUCCAAGGGCUCUUAAGUAUUUUUCCCACUUCUUUAAAAGCCCAACCCACAUCGUUUUGGCUUCCCAAGGGGUGGUAUAAAAGACCCAAACUCUUCCAAAUCAUGAAUUAAUUGUAUUUCCACCCUAAGAAGUUACAAGGGGCGAUUUUCUCCUCUCCAAGAAGAAAUUAGGGUUCUUCCUAAGUUCAAUUCCAAGCAAUCUCCCUAAGGUUUUUCCCUCAGGUAUGUGGGAUAUUAUCAAUGGGUCGCUUCCACCCAUUGAGUUCUAAGAAUUACCUAUUUUUACAAGUAUAAACCCUUUUCCCUUCUUUGUGCAAUUUCAUGUCAGUUAUGGAUUUUAUAAAUUUUCUAUCAAGUGUUUUGAAUUUGAACCAUGAAAAUAUGUUUUUCCAUGAGAAUUGUGUUUAUAUAUGUUUUAUAAUCUCAGUCACCUACCUUAUGAUCAGUGUUGUCAUAUUGCGUACUAUUUAUGAUAUUCCAUACUAUGAUUUCCUUAUCUUAUUCAGUAACAUUAGUCUAUGCUGGCGGAUUAUGAACACCUAAUACCUAGGAAAAUCAUGCAUGUUACAGUUUUCAGGUUUUAAGUCAUUCAAAUUAUGCUUGUAUCAUUAAAUUCAGAAUAUCAUCCUAAUGAGCAUUUAUCAGUACCAUAUUAUGUUAAAAAAAAAAUAAUAUCAUUGUCAUUCAGUUUGGAGUAAUACUUAGCACCGAGUGAACACAGGGAUGGAAGCUCCCUCAUUAGUUAGGCAUGAGUAGUUAGUAGAAGUCACUAAGUUCCAGACCUACGAUGUCACCAUAGAACUUAAGGGGUCCCCCAUCAGUAGAGGCAUGAGGCCCUUGUUCUUUAGGACAUCAGAUUAGUAGAUCUAUGCCAGCCAGUAUUUGUACCCUUGGAAAAGUACUAAUACUCAUCCAAUUGGGGAUAUUAGUUGGACCCUAAUUUUGCGUAGAUUGGGGUAUGUCAGUUGUAGUUAGCUCCCACAAUCUCGGUUCAGUAUUUAGAUUAUACCAGUUUAGGUUUGCAUGACCAAGUGUCCAGUCUAUCAGUUAUUCAGUUAAUCAGUUUUACAGAUUUCUUCAGUACAUGCUUUACUUAGUCUUUCAUUCAAUUUACAUGUUUAUGCAUUCAUGUACAAUACCAUUAUAUAUAUAUAUGUAGUUAGUUGGGCUCCAACAGGCCGAGACCCCGCCUGCACCCGCCACGCCGUCGUCCUCAGCCGCAGCCCCAAGCGAAAUCCGGUGACUUCUAACCUUUGUUAUUUCAUUAUUUCAUUAUUUCGUUAUUUCAUAUUGCAUUUUAGUUCGUUAUCUCAUAUUUCAUAUCGCAUUUUAGUUCGUUAUCUCAUAUUUCAUAUCGCAUUUUAGUUCGUUAUCUCAUAUUUCAUAUUGUGAACAUUGUCUGUUGACUGUUGUUGCUGUUGCGGCGGUCGCUGCUUAGUUUUGCUUCGGGAGUAGUCCCGUCAACGUGUGUGUGCCUUGUAUCUCCUGGCUGCUGCUUGGAUAUUGCCACCGGCUAUAUCCUUUUACUUCCCUAUUUUUUGCGUGUAGUUGUGGCUGUGGGCGGUAAUGGGUGGUUAGGGUCAUGUCCGAGGGGGUUGGGGCGUGGGGCUGUGGUGGGGGCGGGGGAUGGGGAGAGAGCGGGAGUGGGUGGGAGGCCAAGGUUUGGCCGAGGGGGGGGAAGUGGGGGGCGCGUGGAUAGCGACGGUAGGCUGAGGGUUGGGUCUUGGAAUAUAGGGACCCUUCAGGGGAAGUCCAUAGAGCUGGUGAAGAUUCUUAGGAAGAGAAGGAUCAACCUUGCGUGUGUCCAAGAGACCAAGUGGGUAGGGUCUAAGGCUAGGGAUGUGGACGGUUACAAGCUGUGGUACUCUGGGAGCGACAGGCGUAGGAAUGGAGUUGGCAUCUUGGUAGAUGAAGAGCUUAGAGGUCAGGUAGUGGAGGUGAAGAGGAUCAACGAUAGGUUGAUGACUAUCAAGUUGGUCAUUCGGGGGUUUACCCUGAACGUGUGUAGUGCCUAUGCGCCGCAUGUGGGAUCGGAGGGGGAGGAGAAGAUGCGGUUCUGGGAGGCCUUGGAGGACGUGGUGAGAGGCGUGCCCAGUUCGGAGAAGAUUGUGGUAGCAGGGGAUUUCAACGGGCACAUCGGGGCGCUACCGGGAGGCUUUGGGGAUGUGCAUGGAGGUUUUGGUUUUGGGGAGAGAAAUGAAGAGGGGGCGACCCUAUUGGAGUUUGCGAGGGCGUUUGGGCUGGUGGUGGUGAACUCGGGCUUCCCGAAGAAGGACGACCACCUGAUCACUUUUCGGAGCGCGGUAGCCAGGACCCAGAUUGACUUCUUGUUGCUUAGGAAAGGGGAUAGGGCGCUGUGUAAAGAUUGUAAAGUCAUCCCGAGUGAGAACCUUUCGACCCAACAUAGGCUCUUGGUUAUGGAUUUGGGUAUGAAGAAGAAUAAAAAGAGGAGGAGUAAGGAGUGUAGACCGAGAAUUAAGUGGGGCGGUUUGACGCCAGUGAAUGCGUGGGAGAUAGGGGAGAGGUUGGCGGGAAUGGGGGUGUGGGAGUGUAGGGGGGACGUGGAUAAUAUGUGGGACAGGGCGGCAGCGUGCAUCAGGGAAAAUGCAAGGGAGGUGUUGGGUGUUUCUAGGGGCCGGGCCGGACAUCAUCGGGGGGAUUGGUGGUGGAAUGAAGAGGUGGGGAAGAAAGUGGAGACCAAGAAAGAGUCGUAUGCUAAGUUGGUGGAAAGUAAGGACGAAGAGGAGAAGCGGGUAAACAGGAAAGAGUACAAGCUAGCAAGGAAGGAGGCGAAGUCAGCGGUCACGGCAGCUAAGACGGCUGCUUUUGAGAGCUUGUAUGCAGGGUUACAGGGGAAAGGAGGGGAGAAAAAGUUGUUCCGACUCGCUAAGGCUAGGGAGAGGAAGGGUCGUGACCUCGAUCAGGUGCGGUGCAUUAAGGGGGAGGACGGUAGAGUGUUGGUGGAGGACGGCCACAUAAAGAAGAGAUGGCAGUCGUACUUUCAUAGGCUCUUGAAUGACGAGGGGGACAGAGCUAUUGUGUUAGGGGAACUGGAGCACUCAGGGGAGUGUCGGGAUUUUAGCUAUUGUAGACGUUUUAAGGUAGACGAGGUUAGACAGGCAGUCCGCAGGAUGCGAAGGGGUAGGGCGACGGGGCCGGAUGAGAUACCGGUGGAGUUUUGGAAGUUCGUUGGAGAGGCUGGUGUAAGGUGGUUGACUGCAUUGUUCAAUGAAAUUUUCAGGACAGCAAAGAUGCCCGAGGCGUGGAGGUGGAGUACCAUGAUCCCCCUCUAUAAGAAUAAGGGGGACAUUCAGUGUUGCAAUAACUAUAGGGGGAUUAAGUUACUGAGUCACUCUAUGAAGAUCUGGGAGAGAGUGGUCGAGGUGAGGCUGAGACGGAUAGUGUCUAUCUCGGAAAACCAGUUCGGAUUUAUGCCCGGCCGCUCGACGACGGAGGCAAUUCACCUGGUACGGCGGUUGGUGGAGCAAUAUAGGGAAAGGAAGAAGGAUUUGCACAUGGUGUUCAUCGACCUAGAAAAGGCGUACGACAAAGUCCCCAGGGAGGUGCUUUGGAGAUGCUUGGAGGUGAGUGGAGUACCGCAGGCAUAUAGCAGAGUAAUUAAGGAUAUGUAUGAGGGAGCGAAAACCCAGGUGAGGACGGCGGGAGGAGACUCAGAGCAUUUCACUGUCCUGACAGGAUUGCAUCAGGGAUCUACUCUUAGUCCCUUUUUGUUUGCGCUAGUAAUGGAUGUGUUAACGCGGCGUAUCCAAGGGGAGGUGCCGUGGUGUAUGCUUUUUGCAGACGAUGUAGUCCUGAUAGAUGAGACGCGAGGGGGUGUGAACGACAAAUUAGAGCUGUGGAGGCAAACUCUGGAGUCUAAAGGGUUCAGGGUGAGCAGAACCAAGACAGAGUAUGUGGAAUGUAAGUUUAAUGACGUAAGGCGAGAGAAUGAGGUAGUGGUGAGGCUAGAAGCGCAGGAGGUAAAGAAAAGGGAUAAGUUCAAGUACCUCGGGUCCGUGAUCCAGAGUAACGGUGAGAUUGACGAGGAUGUCUCGCACCGUAUCGGGGCGGGAUGGAUGAAGUGGAAACUUGCAUCGGGGGUGCUGUGUGAUAAGAAGGUGCCGCCCAAGCUUAAAGGUAAAUUCUAUAGGGUGGUAGUCCGUCCGGCCUUGCUGUAUGGAGCGGAGUGUUGGCCAGUUAAGAACUCCCACACCCAAAGAAUGAAGGUGGCAGAAAUGCGGAUGUUGCGCUGGAUGUGUGGACUGACCCGAAGGGAUAGAGCUCGGAAUGAGACUAUCCGGGAGAAGGUUGGGGUGACUUCAGUGGAGUGUAAGAUGCGGGAAGCACGAUUGAGAUGGUUCGGACACGUGAAGAGGAGGGGCAUGGAUGCCCCGGUCCGUAGGUGUGAGAGGCUAGCGUUGGAUGGUUUUAGACGGGGUAGGGGUAGACCGAAGAAGUACUGGGGUGAGGUGAUUAGGCGGGACAUGGAACAGUUACAGCUUACCGAGGACAUGACCCUAGAUAGGAAGGUCUGGAAGACGCGAAUUACGGCAGAGGAUUAGGGCCUGUUCGGGUCGCUAAUGUAGGGAGGUAAUUGGUGGGGGUGUAUUCCUGGUAUGAUUCCGUAUUCAAUGUUCUGUUCCGUGUUCCGUGUUCUAUGUUUGUUACGAAUCUGUGUGCUUUCCUCUGCUUUAUAUUCCUGCUUUCCUGCUUUACUCUGUUUUAUAUUCCUUAUGGCUGCAGUAUCUAUGUUAUGUCAUCUGCUUCUGUGCUGUACUAUGUGUUUGUUUGAUAUCUCGUAACUUGAGCCGGGGGUCUUUCGGAAACAGCCUUUCUACUUCAUCAGAGGUAGAGGUAUGGACUGCGUACAUCUUACCCCCCCCAGACCCCACAAAGUGGGAAUACACUGGGUUUGUUGUUGUUGUUGUAGUUAGUUCGUAUCUCGCACACCAGGACAUUCAUAAUAUAGGUUCGGACGUCCAGUUCCCUGGUCAUACUUAGACAAUUUAUGAGCCAUUCAGCAACAUUGUGGUGAGUCCUCAUUCUUUGAGGACAAGUUAUCCGUAGUUAAUUUUAGUACUUUUAUUACAGUCAGCUGGAGUUAGUUGGGGGUUUGUCGCAUCAACUCCUUAUGUUAGAGGCUUUCAGAUAGUCAAACAGUUAGUUAUAUUUUCAAUGAUGCAUUUCAGACUCCUUUAUUUUUUUAUUUAACUAUUUAAACAUUUAUUAAAUAACUUCCACAUAGUAUUUUAUUAUUUUCCUUCAGUAUUUAUAGCUUGUGCCAGAUCAUGGGAUAGCUUGGGGGCACUUAUGGCCUUAAGCACUGUGUUACAACUAGGGGUAUUCUUGAGUAGUGACAACAUUAUAGUUGGACUGCUGGGAAUAUAAGCAACCAAGAGUCAUUGCAAUUGUAUAUGCCAAAGGUGAUGACAGGAAAGACUCAACUUAUGGGAAGACAUGUACUCAAUUGCCAAUAUAAAUUUACUUUGGAUGGCUGGUGGUGACUUUAAUGUGAUAAAGAUUAGAUUGAAAGAUUUCCAGUUACUCUGAAGGAAGUAGAAGACUUUGUUUUUUGUAUUAACUUAUGUGAUCUAUUGGGCACUAAAUUUAAAGGGAGUCCAUUCACAUGAUGGAAUGGAAGGGCAUAAGUAAAUGUAUUUUUGGAAGACUAGGCAAAAUUGUGAUGAAUCAAUCUUUUCUUGGCAUAGCAGGGCAAGUGAAAAUAGAAUAUUUGGCAAGAAUAGGGUCAGACCAUGUUCCUUUGUUACUUUCGUGUGGUGGACAGUCUAUGCACUUUAGGAAACCUUUUAAAUUCUUGAACUUUGGGGUGGACCAAUCAGAUUUUAAAGGUGGUGAGAAAUAGUUAGACAUCUCAAAAAGAAGUUGAUAUUUUCAUUUGUCUAAAGCAAAAAAUGAAGAAUACCAAAACAACUCUUACUUUGAGUAGAGAGAUAUUUGGUGAUAUUUUUAAACAAUUGAUCAUAAGAGAAGAAGUUAUUAGACUCAAAUAAGAAUUGUUAGAAAAAAAAUCCAACCUCCAGUAAUAGAAGUAUACUUCAAAAGGCAUAGGCUAAAUUGAAAAAAUAAGUGCACUUUAAAGAGGCAUUUUGGAGGCAAAAAGUUGGUAGUCAAUGGUUCUCUAAAGGUGAUAGGAACACUAGUCUUUCCAUUGUCUAGUGAAUAGGAGAAUAAAGAGAUUGACUAUCAAUAGAAUUAUUAAAGAAAAUAGUCAAUGGACGGAACGUAAUGAACAAAUGGCUACUGAAGAUAUUUCUUACUUUCACAAAUAAUUUUCAUGUGAGCAAGGUAAAAAAGAUUAUUCUUUACUCACCCAUAUUCCUAAUUUGGUUACUGAAUAGAUAAAUAAGGUUAUCAAUGAUUUACCAACAGAAGAAGAGGUGAAAAAGGCCAUUUUCAAAUUGAAUGGGCAAAGUGCUAGUAGAUCAAAUGGUUUCUCUGGAUUUUUUAUCAAAGUUUUUGGGAUAUUGUAAGAGCUGAUAUUAUUAAAAUGAUGAUUACUUUUUUAAAGGAAGUUUCCUUUCAAAGUUUAUUACUCACACUAAUUUGGUCUUAUUACCUAAGAAAGACUUUGUUCAAUCCUUUACAUACAUGAGACCAAUUAGUUUAAGUAAUUUUUUUAAUAAAGUGAUUUUUAAGAUUCUUCAUGAUAGAAUUGAAAAUUAUCUUCCUAUGCUUAUUUCUAAACUAAUCUGGUUUUGUAAAAGAUGUUCUUGCUCAAGAGAUAAUUACUGACAUUGGAAAAAGAGAUAAAUCGACUAAUGUGGUAAUUAAAUUAGACUUGGCAAAAGCAUAUGAUAAGAGUGGAUUGGAAUUUCUUGAUAAAAGUUCUAGAAAAGAUUGGUUUUAAUAAACAAGUGGUUGAUUAAAUUUGGAGGUUGAUGGAAAAUAAUUGGUAUUCCAUUCUGAUCAAUGGUCAGCCUUAUGAUUUAUUUCACUCUAUCAGGGGGUGAAACAACGAGAUCCUCUAUCCCUGCCUCUUUAUUUUAUCUUCAAAAAUAUUAGUUAGAGCCCUGAAUUCUCUAUUUUACAAUAAGGAGUUUAUAGGCUUUGGAAUGCCAAAAUGGAGUGAUGAUAUUAGCCAUUUGGCCUAUGUUGAUGAUACCAUUUUGUUUGUCUCUGCAGACAAAAUAUCUCUACAAAUGGUGAUGAACACUCUUAAAAAAUAUAAAGAACAGUUUGGAUAGAAGAUUAAUAAAAAUAAGAGUACCUUUAUUAUACAUACCAAGAUUGUUGGCACUGUUGUUCAGGAGAUAGAAGAAUGUAUUGAAUUUUAUAGGGGAAAAUUUGCUCUGAUGUACUUGGGGUGUCCUAUUGGUCAUAGGAUAAAGCGAAAAACUCAUUUUGUAGAGCUUAUCAAAAAGGUACACUGUAAAGUACAACUUGGAAAGGGAAAUUACUAUCCUUUGGAGGUACGGUUGUUUUAAUUAAUAAUAAGUUGAAUAUUAUUGUUAUUUAUUUAUUGUCUGUCAUAAAUCCUCCUAAAUGUAUUAUUUAUGAAUUAAAUAGGAACGUUGCAAUAUUCCUACGGAACUUAAAGGAUGUAGGCAAAAACAAACAUUGGGUUUCUUGGAUAGAUAUUUGCAGGCCUAAGAAGGAAGGAGGUCUAGGUUUUAGAAAUUUGUUUAGCAUCUCUAAAGAUUUAUUUACCAAGUUAUGGGGUAUUUUCAAAACUGAGAAAUAUAUGUGGACCAUAUUCAUGUGGAACAAAUAUUGCAAGAGAUAUGUGUCUCAAGUUGUGGAAUGAAAAGGUGGGUCACAAAUAUGGAAGAAGAUGCUUGAAGCUAGAGACUAUGUGGAUCAAGAAAUAUGGUGGGAGCCCAAGAAUGGUCAUACUAAUAUUUGGCAUGGUAAUUGCACACAGAUUGGGGCUCUCCGUUUUUUCUUGCCUUGUAGAGUCAGAUGUACAUAUAGUGGAGAAUGUGAGACAGUUAUUUGUAGAAGGAAGAUGGAAUUCAAGUUUAUUAGAAUUGUUAUUUACAAGGAGGUAUGUGAUCAUGUUCAGCACAACUUGAUGGUUGAAGAAGGAUUUGAGGAGUGGGAUAGGCUUUGGUGGAUGGCCAACCCUUCUGGUAAGUAUACAGUAAAGUUAGAAAAGUUAUGAUACAAGCAAAAGAGGCUUAAGGGGUUUAAGAAAUUCCUUUUAAAGUAUCUCUUUUCUGUGGAGGUUGUGGAAAAAUAAAAUUCCUAUAGGAGAAAUUCUGGUUAAGAUAAGGGCAUGUGAAAAUAUGUCUUGUAUUUUUUGUGAAGAAAAUAUGCAGGAAACUAUUGAACAAUUAUUUGUUAAGUGCCUUUUGGAUAAUAGAUUGUGGUGCAGAUUUGAAGCAGCAAAAGAAAUUAUCAGCCUUUUUUUGCAGCUCAGAGAUUUGAUGUACAAGUAAUGGAAAGCUGACAGACCACCAAAGCUCCAAUUACUUCUUAAUAUUAUUCCCUUAUUUAUAACAUGACAGAUCUCAAUAAUCAUGGAUGCAAAUGUCCUAUUUAGGGAUGGAGAUUAAGAUAAACUAAAAUUUAUAUCUAUUGGCUAGAUAUAAUUACCCUUGGCUGAGACAUUUACCAUCAUCAUGGCAUGUACUGGUGAAGUUUUUUUUAGGAUUAUACAACUUUAAGAAGUAGGAUGGUGUUGUGGAACUCUCCUUGUGUGGGAUCCCUUAAAUGCAACUCUGAUGGUGCAUUCAAAGGAAACUCACGCCCUAGUUCUGGGGCUUUCUGUAUGAGGAAUGGAGAAGGGAAUUUUGUGUAUUCAGAAGUUAGAAGAUUGUUUGAUGGAUCUAAUCUAGUUGCAGAAGUGGUGGCACUAAGAUUAGGUCUGGAGCAUUGUGUUGAACACAAUUUCCUUCCUGGAGCAUUGUGUUUUAGAUGGGAAUGGUAAAUUCCCUGGAGUAUUGCUAUGGAAGUUAAGAGAAUUAAAAUGUUGAUGUUGGGAAAGAAGGUGGUGGUGGAGCAUACCCUAGGAGAAGGCAACAAGUUGACAGAUUUUUUCACUAAUCGAAUUUUUUGUCCUGCAGAUACAUACAAGCUAACAUAUUCUACACUGUAGGAAGUACCUAAUAAAGCAAAAGGCAUCACACAAACAAAAAGAUAAAAUGCCUAAUUUCAAAAUAACAAAGCCUCAAAAUGGAUAGCACAAAAGUCAAAUGCCAUAUUAAAGAUGAGAGCAACCAAAGACGCAGAAAGCAUCAUCAUAACAGAGCAACAGGUAGCAAGGCAACAAGUAAGUUAUAGAAAAAUUUUGGUACGAUAAUAACUUAUUUUCUCUGAAGUUUAUGUAGUGGUAUUAGUCUUUAAUUAGGCUCGAUCUACUGAACGAUGGGGAAAAUAGAAAAUUAUCAUACACGGAAACUAGAAUUACAAUAAUAACUUGGUUGUAAUCGAGAUAAAUGAAAAAGUUGGUAUACCUGUUCAAAGAUGUCAAUUAGGUAGUCACUCAAGCAUACAAAUUAUGAAAUAAGGAGAAAUUACAUUAGUGCAAAAGAGAAAAUAAAGGAAACAAAAUAUCAAUAAUCAAAUUCGAACUCACCAGAUCUGACGUUAUUGAGUCAAAGAAGUUUUCAUUGAGUGGGUUUUCAUGGCAUUCGUAGAGUGUCUUAUGUGAACAACUCAAACUUAAAAAGUUCAUGUUAGGAUAAAGAGUUGCGAAAAAGAAAAUUUGUUGUCUUAGUUGUCCUCCUUCAGCUACAUUUCAUCAUUAGAAGGUCAUUUAGAAAGGAGAUACAGGGUGUAUGGAUGAAAUCAAGUUCAUAAUGAACCUAAAAUUCUGCUACUCCAAUAUAGGUACUACAUGGAUGAGUUCACAGAUCUAACUCAAAUGGUGGUAUUAAUCCCACUGGGAUUCAACCCAUUGAGCGACAAAUUAGAGAACUCAUUCAGCUGGUAUCGUUAGAUGGAGUAAGGCAAGCAGUCACAAAGAAUGAACUCGAUGUGAGCUGAUAUCAUAGAUGAAGAAUGAAUCGAGAACAUGAAUUUAGUGCAAGGUAAGGCAAAAAAGACAACACUGAUGGAGUACAAGAAUAGACUAGAAGCCUCUUCCACGUUCCUCUUUUGUACAAUAUCAAAUAUUUUUUGUAAUAAGUAGGAUCUUGUUGUUUUGGGUUUCUCAUCCAUUUGAUUGUGGUCCAUUGUAAAUAUAGCAUUUAUUUGAGGAAAAAUUUCUUAAAACUUCAACUUUACUUUCUAUUAUUACAUAAAAUCCUAAAUCACAAAAGUAAUUACAAAUAUCUCUUUUUAUAAUUUCACUCUCCAAAACUACAUUACUUUCUAUUCUUACAUAAAAUCUCAAAUCACAAAAGUAAUUACAAAUAUCUUUCUUUUAACUAUUUAUCUCUCUUAACUUCAUAUACAUAACUCUAUCUCCCUAUUUAUAUAUUUUAUUUUCAUAAAAAGUGCCUACAAUCAAGGAGCCACAUUCAA